rnacentral:rRNA from 1 species
GGUGACUGCGUACCUUUUGUAUAAUGGGUCAGCGACUUAUAUUCUGUAGCAAGGUUAACCGAAUAGGGGAGCCGUAGGGAAACCGAGUCUUAACUGGGCGAAUGAGUUGCAGGGUAUAGACCCGAAACCCGGUGAUCUAGCCAUGGGCAGGUUGAAGGUUGGGUAACACUAACUGGAGGACCGAACCGACUAAUGUUGAAAAAUUAGCGGAUGACUUGUGGCUGGGGGUGAAAGGCCAAUCAAACCGGGAGAUAGCUGGUUCUCCCCGAAAGCUAUUUAGGUAGCGCCUCGUGAACUCAUCUUCGGGGGUAGAGCACUGUUUCGGCUAGGGGGUCAUCCCGACUUACCAACCCGAUGCAAACUACGAAUACCGAAGAAUGUUAUCACGGGAGACACACGGCGGGUGCUAACGUUCGUCGUGAAGAGGGAAACAACCCAGACCGCCAGCUAAGGUCCCAAAGUCAUGGUUAAGUGGGAAACGAAGUGGGAAGGCUCAGACAGCCAGGAUGUUGGCUUAGAAGCAGCCAUCAUUUAAAGAAAGCGUAAUAGCUCACUGGUCGAGUCGGCCUGCGCGGAAGAUGUAACGGGGCUAAACCAUGCACCGAAGCUGCGGCAGCGACAUGUAGAUGUUGUUGGGUAGGGGAGCGUUCUGUAAGCCUGUGAAGGUGUGCUGCGAGGCAUGCUGGAGGUAUCAGAAGUGCGAAUGCUGACAUAAGUAACGAUAAUGCGGGUGAAAAACCCGCACGCCGGAAGACCAAGGGUUCCUGUCCAACGUUAAUCGGGGCAGGGUGAGUCGACCCCUAAGGCGAGGCAGAAAUGCGUAGUCGAUGGGAAACAGGUUAAUAUUCCUGUACUGGUGAUAAUUGCGAUGGGGGGACGGAGAAGGCUAGGCUGGCCGGGCGACGGUUGUCCCGGUUUAAGGAUGUAGGUGGGUGAAUUAGGCAAAUCCGGUUCGCUAUACACUGAGGUCUGAUGACGAGUCACUACGGUGGCGAAGUAGCUCAUGCCCCGCUUCCAGGAAAAGCCUCUAAGCUCUAGAUUAUCAUUAAUCGUACCCCAAACCGACACAGGUGGUCAGGUAGAGAAUACUCAGGCGCUUGAGAGAACUCGGGUGAAGGAACUAGGCAAAAUGGUGCCGUAACUUCGGGAGAAGGCACGCUGGCAUUAGGUGAAGUGGUUUACCCAUGGAGCUGAAGCCAGUCGCAGAUACCAGCUGGCUGCAACUGUUUAUUAAAAACACAGCACUGUGCAAACACGAAAGUGGACGUAUACGGUGUGACGCCUGCCCGGUGCUGGAAGGUUAAUUGAUGGGGUUAUCCGUAAGGAGAAGCUCUUGAUCGAAGCCCCAGUAAACGGCGGCCGUAACUAUAACGGUCCUAAGGUAGCGAAAUUCCUUGUCGGGUAAGUUCCGACCUGCACGAAUGGCGUAAUGAUGGCCAGGCUGUCUCCACCCGAGACUCAGUGAAAUUGAACUCGCUGUGAAGAUGCAGUGUACCCGCGGCAAGACGGAAAGACCCCGUGAACCUUUACUAUAGCUUGACACUGAACAUUGAGCCUUGAUGUGUAGGAUAGGUGGGAGGCUUUGAAGUGUGGACGCCAGUCUGCAUGGAGCCAACCUUGAAAUACCACCCUUUAAUGUUUGAUGUUCUAACGUAGCCCCAUAAUCUGGGGUGCGGACAGUGUCUGGUGGGUAGUUUGACUGGGGCGGUCUCCUCCCAAAGCGUAACGGAGGAGCACGAAGGUUGGCUAAGCAUGGUCGGACAUCAUGCGGUUAGUGCAAAGGCAUAAGCCAGCUUGACUGCGAGAGUGACGGCUCGAGCAGGUACGAAAGUAGGUCUUAGUGAUCCGGUGGUUCUGAAUGGAAGGGCCAUCGCUCAACGGAUAAAAGGUACUCCGGGGAUAACAGGCUGAUACCGCCCAAGAGUUCAUAUCGACGGCGGUGUUUGGCACCUCGAUGUCGGCUCAUCACAUCCUGGGGCUGAAGUAGGUCCCAAGGGUAUGGCUGUUCGCCAUUUAAAGUGGUACGCGAGCUGGGUUUAGAACGUCGUGAGACAGUUCGGUCCCUAUCUGCCGUGGGCG